GUAAACCACUUUUUUUCUUUGUUUUUAGUGAGGAAAUGUUCAAAGCAACUAUGAUUCAUUUGAUGAAGAGAAUUUAAGUGACCUUGACUUUAAUGAUGAUCGUUUCGAAAACCAGCCUCCAGAAGAAAAUUUGCCUGAUGUUCCGAUGUAUGAUGAAUCUCCAUUUUUUACAUCCCUCUAAAGAACACAAGAUAUGGAUCUCUGAAACAUCUCCCUCCUAGAACAUUGAUUUGUGCACUUCUAAUAAAUCAAAAUCUUACUCUACAUUCUUCACUCAAGAGUUUGGUUCUAUUAUGAUGGCAUCUGUGGAUUAUAUCACAUGUGCUAAUGGAAAUGGAUAACAAUUAUAAUAGCUUUGGAAUUUGAAUUUCUUUGCUUUUGCUAAUAAAUCUCUCUUGUAAGCAUGUAAUUUAUGGCUAAAUUUUAUUCUCCAAGAAUUUACCUAUAGCAGUAAAGGCCAUUAUUUUUUGUGUAGCUUGCCUAAUUUUUAU